rnacentral:lncRNA from 1 species
AUUAAUUAAAAAUUAAAAGUAUUGAUUUUUACAAAAAAAUUCUAACCUAAUGAUUAAUCAUCCCCCACGUGUCAACACCACACCCCUGCCUGGCAUCGUCAUCAUCAUUUUCAUUCCUAUAAAUAGGACUUCUAAAAGCAACAAUCAUGGAACAAAAAAAAGCACUCCUAAAGUCCCCAAGACUUUCAGUCCGACAAAAUUCAGUCACUAACUUUAAUCUCAAACUCUCCAACCCUCGAUAUCCCCUAAAGUUUUUCAAACUCCAAAAGUCUUUGACAUUCUCAAAGAGCUCUCUUUUAUUCCUCUCUUCAUUCUUCACCAAUGUACUGCCCUACACCUCUCUACCCUUGCCAAAGAACAAUAAGAACGAAAAAAGCAAUAAGUUAGUAGUAGAGUAAGCAUGUAUAAAUAGUUUGGGUUUCGCGUAAAUAAGUACUUGAGUGUUGAAACCCUGUGUUUUAAAGUUCAACUAUUCUUGUAUACGAGGAACCUAGUUUCAUAGGUUUCCACAUAUCUAAUAACUAUAUAUUUAACUUUUACUUAUCACUAACUCUUAACACUACUAAGUAAUGUUCCUAUUUCAUCUUUCACUUCCUAAGCAUUGUAUUCUCAUACAGUCAAUCAUCAUUUAUGUUUAAUAAUUGUAUGUCAGUUAUAAUGUUUAUGUGUUGAGUGAGCUUGCGAGCAUUGUAUGGAUCGAAGCACGUGGUUCGAUCGGGUCGUCUAGGGGUUGAUUUCACAAUGGAUAUUAGAGCCUGGUUAUUUUCUAUUGUUUGAUCGAGGUUAUUGGUACUGAGGCGUCAUGAACCUCAAAGUGACCACUAUUUUUGGGAGCUGAGUGUAGUAACCAAAGUUUUUCAGGGUUUUCAAAUUUUUUUUCAUUUUCGUAGCUCGAUUUUUUCUUCGAAUUUUUUACCUUUUUCAUUAAUUUGAAUACACACUUCUAAACUCUUACCGAAUUGUCUAAAUUAUGAAUUAACGGUCACAAGCAAAGAUGCUAUACCAAACCUAAAUAUUAAGCGUUGGUCAGAUUAACGGGUUGACAUGAUAUUUCAAACUUAAAAGCUAAGUUCUAUAAUUGGAUAAGAUGAUCGGGGUUUCGAGCCGACUAAGUGAAUGAGAUUGGGUUCGGCUUGGGCCCGUUUCGAAUUUCAGAAUUUUAAUUAAAUAUAAAUGGACGAAAAUUAAUUAAAAAUUAAAAGUAUUGAUUUUUACAAAAAAAUUCUAACCUAAUGAUUAAUCAUCCCCCACGUGUCAACACCACACCCCUGCCUGGCAUCGUCAUCAUCAUUUUCAUUCCUAUAAAUAGGACUUCUAAAAGCAACAAUCAUGGAACAAAAAAAAGCACUCCUAAAGUCCCCAAGACAAAAUUCAGUCACUAACUCUAAUCUCAAACUCUCCAACCCUCGAUAUCCCCUAAAGUUUUUCAAACUCCAAAAGUCAUUGACAUUCUCAAAGAGCUCUAUUUCAUUCCUCUCUUCAUUCUUCACCAAUGUACUGCCCUACACCUCUCUACCCUUGCCAAAGAACAAAAAGAACGAAAAAAGCAAUAAGUUAGUAGUAGAGUAAGCACAUCAUAAAUAGUUUGGGUUUCACGUACGUAAGUACUUGAGUUUUGAAACCCUGUGUUUUAAAGUUCAACUAUUCUUGUAUACGAGGAACCUAGUUUCAUAGGUUUCCACAUAUCUAAUAACUAUAUAUUUAACUUUUACUUAUCAACCUAGUUUCAUAGGUUUCCACAUAUCUAAUAACUAUAUAUUUAACUUUUAUUUAUCUACGUGUGCUAACACUAACUCUUUACACUACUAAGUAAUGUUCCUAUUUCAUCUUUCACUUCCUAAGCAUUGUAUUCUCAUACAGUCAAUCAUCAUUUAUGUUUAAUAAUUGUAUGUCAAUUAUCAUGUUUAUGUAUUGAGUGAACUUGCGAGCAUUGUAUGGAUCGAAGCACGUGGUUCGAUCGGGUCGUCUAGGGGUGGAUUUCACAAUGGAUAUUAGAGCCUGGUUAUUCUCUAUUGUUUGAUCGAGGUUAUUGGUACUGAGGCGUCAUGAACCUCAAAGUGAUCACUAUUUUUGGGAGCAUAGUGUAGUAACCAAAGUUUUUCAGGGUUUUCAAAUUUUUUGUCAUUUUCGUAGCUCGAUUGUUUCUUCGAAUUUUGGACCUUUUUCAUUAAUUUGAAUACACACUUCUAAACUCUUACCGAAUUGUCUAAAUUAUGAAUUAACGGUCACAAGCAAAGAUGCUAUACCAAACCUAAAUAUUAAGCGUUGGUCAGAUUAACGGGUUGACAUGAUAUUUCAAACUUAAAAGCUAAGUUCUAUAAUUGGACCAGGUGAUAGGGGUUUCGAGCCCACUAAGUGAAUGAGAUUGGGUUCGGCUUGGGCCCGUUUCGAAUUUAAGAAUUUUAAUUAAAUAUAAAUGGACGAAAAUUAAUUAAAAAUUAAAAGUAUUGAUUUUUACAAAAAAAUUCUAACCUAAUGAUUAAUCAUCCCCCACGUGUCAACACCACACCCCUGCCUGGCAUCGUCAUCAUCAUUUUCAUUCCUAUAAAUAGGACUUCUAAAACCACCAAUGCACUCCCCUACACCUCUCUACCCUUGCCAAAAAAUCAAGAGAACAAAAAAAAAGCAAUAAGUUAGUAGUAGAGUAAGCACGUGAUAAAUAGUUUGGGUUUCACGUACAUAAGUACUUGAGUUUUGAAACCCUGUGUUUUAAAGUUCAACUAUUCUUGUAUACGAGGAACCUAGUUUCAUAGGUUUCCACAUAUCUAAUAACUAUAUAUUUAACUUUUACUUAUCUAUGUGUGCUAACACUAACUCUUAACACUACUAAGUAAUGUUCCUAUUUCAUCUUUCACUUCCUAAGCAUUGUAUUCUCAUACAGUCAAUCAUCAUUUAUGUUUAAUAAUUUUAUGUCAGUUAUCAUGUUUAUGUGUUCAGUGAACUUGCGAGCGUUGCAUGGAUCGAACCUCGUGGUUCGAUCGGAUCGUCUAGGGAUGGGUUUCAUAACGGGUAUUAGAGCCUGGUUAUUCUCAACUGUUUGAUCGAAGUUUAUGGUACUGAGGCGUCAUGAACCUCAAAGUGACCACUAUUUUCGGGAGCUUAGUGUAGUAACCAAAGUUUUUCUGGGUUCUCAAAUUUUUUGUCAUUUUCAUAGCUCGAUUUUUUCUUCGAAUUUUUGACCUUUUUCAUUAAUUAGAAUACACACUUCUAAACUCUUACCGAAUUGUCUAAAUUAUGAAUUAAUGGUCACAAGCAAAGAUGCUAUACCGAACCUAGAUAUUAAGCGUUGGUCAGAUUAACGGGUUGACAUGAUAUUUCAAACUCAAAAGCUAAGUUCUAUAAUUGGACCAGAUGAUAGGGGUUUCGAGCCCACUAAGUGUAUGAGAUUGGGGUCGGCUUGGGCCUGUUUCGAAUUUUAGAAUUUUAAUUAAAAAUAAAUGGACGAAAAUUAAUAAAAAAUUAAAAGUAUAUAUUUUUACAAAAAAAUUCUAACCUAAUGAUUAAUCAUCCCCCACGUGUCAACACCACACCCCUACCUUCCAUCGUCAUCAUCAUCAUCAUCAUCUUCAUUCCUAUAAAUAGGACUUCUAAAACCAAUAAUCACGGAACAAAAAAAACACUCCUAAAGUCCCCAACACAAACUUCAGUCACUAACUCUAAUCUCAAACUCUCCAACCCUCGAUAUCCCCUAAAGUUUUUCAAACUCCAAAAGUCAUUGACAUUCUCAAAGAGCUCUCUUUCAUUCCUCUCUUCAUUCUUCACCAAUGCACUGCCCUACACCUCUCUACCCUUGCCAAAGAA